rnacentral:lncRNA from 1 species
CGCGCGUGAGGAUCGAGCGUUGGAUACACGCGCGCUACGUGCUAAUGAUGAUCUACGAGGGCGAGACGGGGACGAAGGACGAUCACGGCGACGGCGGCGCGGCGGAGACUUUGGCGGCGCGCGACGCGGGGUCGAGCGCGGCCGCCUUCUUCAGAGCCUUCUCCACGCCCUGGAUCAAUCUGGCGUUUUUCUGCGAGUCCGUGGAACGACGCGCGCGGCGUCAGUCGUCGAGUUUCGCGCGCGGGCGGCGCGCGAGCGAAGGAUGCGAGCGUCGCGCGUCGACGGCGCGCACCAGGGCGUUGCGUUGGCGCGUUUGGGACAUCUUCGCGAACGCGUGCGUCUUCCAGAUGAUCCCGCCUGCGCGCGAGCGACCGCGCGUGACGCGCGCGAUGCGUCAGUCGAUGAUCGCGUUCGGCGCUCGCGCGUCUCGGCGCGCGCGUCGGGCGCCAGCGGUCGCGCGCGAUCGAGUCGAGGUCGAAUCCAGCGGUGCGCGCGCGCGACGUACCUCGCGCGAACGGGCCUUUCUUGACCGCCAUGAGCACGAACGAGGUGAACAUGGCGUCGACGAACGCGUCGACGCGCGCGCGUGCGUCGCGCGCGACGUCGCGCGGGACGGUGCGGGACAGCGCGC